rnacentral:lncRNA from 1 species
GGGGGGGGGGGGGGCUAGGAUGAAAAAUUUUGUCCUGCCUUUUUUUUUAGUUGUAAUCUCUGUCCUGCCUUUUUAUUUUUCAGUCUAUUCGGUCCUGCCUCUUUUUUUCUUAGCUUAUCCUGACUUUUUUACAACAAUUGUCAUCCUGCCUUUUUUUUUUUGCCAAGUUACUCAUCCUGCCUUUUUUUUUUUACUCAAAAUCCUGUCCUGCCUUUUUUUUCAAAUUUCAUCCUAGCUCCCCCCAUAAAAAUCAAAUGGUAGCUCCCUUAGACUGGAUAGGCCUUAUAAUUUUUUUCCC